UACGAAGGGGGCUAGCGUUGCUCGGAAUCACUGGGCGUAAAGGGUGCGUAGGCGGGUCUUUAAGUCAGGGGGGAAAUCCUGGAGCUCAACUCCAGAACUGCCUUCGAUACUGGCGAUCUCGAGUUCGGGAGAGGUGAGUGGAACUGCGAGUGUAGAGGUGAAAUUCGUAGAUAUUCGCAAGAACACCAGUGGCGAAGGCGGCUCACUGGCCCGAUACUGACGCUGAGGUGCGAAAGCGUGGGGAGCAAACAGG
rnacentral:rRNA from 1 species